GGGUCGUUAGCUCAAUACGGCAGAGCAGUUGACUCUUAAUCAAUUGGCUGUAGGUUCAAAUCCUACACGACCCA
rnacentral:tRNA from 2 species